GAUGAACGCUGGCGGCGUGCCUAAUACAUGCAAGUCGAGCGAACAGAUAAGGAGCUUGCUCCUUUGACGUUAGCGGCGGACGGGUGAGUAACACGUGGAUAACCUACCUAUAAGACUGGGAUAACUUCGGGAAACCGGAGCUAAUACCGGAUAACAUAUUGAACCGCAUGGUUCAAUAGUGAAAGGCGGCUUUGCUGUCACUUAUAGAUGGAUCCGCGCCGUAUUAGCUAGUUGGUAAGGUAACGGCUUACCAAGGCAACGAUACGUAGCCGACCUGAGAGGGUGAUCGGCCACACUGGAACUGAGACACGGUCCAGACUCCUACGGGAGGCAGCAGUAGGGAAUCUUCCGCAAUGGGCGAAAGCCUGACGGAGCAACGCCGCGUGAGUGAUGAAGGUCUUCGGAUCGUAAGACUCUGUUAUCAGGGAAGAACAAAUGUGUAAGUAACUGUGCACAUCUUGACGGUACCUGAUCAGAAAGCCACGGCUAACUACGUG
rnacentral:rRNA from 1 species